rnacentral:rRNA from 1 species
UCGAUGAAGAACGUAGCGAAUUACGAUAUGUAAUGUGAAUUGCAGAAUUCAGUGAAUCAUCGAAUCUUUGAACGCACCUUGCGCUCUUUGGUAUUCCGAAGAGCAUGCCUGUUUGAGUGUCAUGA